GCAUGAGUAAAGUCAUGUUUCCUUCGGGACACUGGAGACAGGUGGUGCAUGGUUGUCGUCAGCUCGUGUCGUGAGAUGUUGGGUUAAGUCCCGCAACGAGCGCAACCCCUAUUUCCAGUAGCCAGCAUGUAAGGAUGGGCACUCUGGAGAGACUGCCUAGGAUAACUAGGAGGAAGGCGGGGAUGACGUCAAAUCAUCAUGCCCCUUAUGAUCAGGACUACACACGUGCUACAAUGGCGUAAACAAAGGGAAGCGAAGUGGUGACGCCAAGCAAAUCCCAAAAAUAACGUCCCAGUUCGGAUUGUAGUCUGCAACUCGACUACAUGAAGCUGGAAUCGCUAGUAAUCGCGAAUCAGAAUGUCGCGGUGAAUACGUUCCCGGGUCUUGUACACACCGCCCGUCACACCAUGGGAGUCGGAAAUGCCCGAAGUCAGUGACCUAACCGAAAGGGAGGAGCUGCCGAAGGUGGAGCCGGUAACUGGGGUGAAGUCGUAACAAGGUAGCCGUAUCGGAA
rnacentral:rRNA from 1 species